rnacentral:rRNA from 1 species
UACGUAGGGCGCAAGCGUUAUCCGGAAUUAUUGGGCGUAAAGAGCUCGUAGGCGGUUUGUCGCGUCUGCCGUGAAAGUCCGGGGCUCAACUCCGGAUCUGCGGUGGGUACGGGCAGACUAGAGUGAUGUAGGGGAGACUGGAAUUCCUGGUGUAGCGGUGGAAUGCGCAGAUAUCAGGAGGAACACCGGUGGCGAAGGCGGGUCUCUGGGCCGAAACUGACACUGAGGAGCGAAAGCGUGGGGAGCAAACAGG